rnacentral:lncRNA from 1 species
AAAACCCGGUUGGUGGACACCUACAAAGGACCUGCUAGCCAUACACGACUGUCCCUCAGCAACAGGCCAGUUCAAGGGACUCCAGAACUUGAGGUGGAUCACCGAAAAGGGGAUACACCCCUCUGCCCGAGUCCCCCAUUGGAGACGCUGCGGGUCCCUGACUCUGUCGCUAGCAGGAGAGCCAGGAGGGUCCCGAGGUGUGUCUGCAGCCUGGGCCGCCCGCACUUUCUGAGCAACACCGUCCACGCGCCUUUCCAGGGCUAGAGUGCCUUGACUCAGGGGCGACCCCUCCUCCCACAGGUGAGGGUGGGCACGCAUGGAGGAGCAGGACAGAGACUGAUGUGUCCAAAAUGUUAUUAUAGCCACCCCUUCCCCCAAACGACCAGAGGAGCAAAGGUGUCAGCGCUGAGAAGGCUUCUAGAAACAAGAAGAGCUAAAUGGUUUGACAACUGCCCAGGACCUGCAGGUCUGGCCGCUCCAUUCUGAAGUUGCGGGAGAAGUUUCCCGUCAGGAGAGACACUCUCAGAAGAUAUCCUGCCUGCUUUCUGCUCAGAUUCCCUUGAGAAGCCUGGCCAUGUCCCACUGCCAAGUUCUAAGGGGGACGCAACCCUCACCUGCUCAGGUAAGCAUUUUGCCACUGGUUGUUCCACAAACUCUUCAGCAUGUGAGACAGCACACAAAAAUAAUCUGCAGGGCUUCUGUUUUGAUGAGAUAACUAGUAAGAUCUCAUCUAUAUUUCAAUAAAUAUUUGGAGAAAAUGUCCAUGGGAAAUUUAAGUUGUUAAAUAAAUAAA